ACCUGGUUACCCGAGUGCGCGUUCGGUCACGUUCGGUCACCCAAUGUUUCCCUCAUGAGAAUACGCUCGAAAUGGACUUCGUGGGAAAAUAAUCUUCUUAAGAAAGAAAGCCGUGACGGAUUCAAGUUUAGAUCAUUGCUUCAAGACACAAGACAACAAAGGUGUACAAAUAACAUAAGAUAUAGCGGUGUGGUGGUCUAGCAAGCGACGAUUUCAUUAAAGUUUUUGUCGCCUUUGCCUUUUUUUCAUAUGCAAUAUGCAAUAAGAGUACAGGUUG